rnacentral:rRNA from 1 species
AGAUGGGCAUGCGUGUCAUUAGCUAGUUGGCGGGGUAACGGCCCACCAAGGCGACGAUGACUAGGGGAUCUGAGAGGAUGGCCCCCCACACUGGUACUGAGACACGGACCAGACUCCUACGGGAGGCAGCAGUAAGGAAUAUUGGUCAAUGGAGGCAACUCUGAACCAGCCAUGCCGCGUGCAGGAAGACUGCCCUAUGGGUUGUAAACUGCUUUUAUCCGGGAAUAAACCACAUUACGUGUAAUGUGCUGAAUGUACCGGAAGAAUAAGGAUCGGCUAACUCCGUGCCAGCAGCCGCGGUAAUACGGAGGAUCCAAGCGUYAUCCGGAUUUAUUGGGUUUAAAGGGUGCGUAGGCGGCCUGUUAAGUCAGGGGUGAAAGACGGUAGCUCAACUAUCGCAGUGCCCUUGAUACUGAUGGGCUUGAAUGGACUAGAGGUAGGCGGAAUGAGACAAGUAGCGGUGAAAUGCAUAGAUAUGUCUCAGAACACCGAUUGCGAAGGCAGCUUACUAUGGUCUUAUUGACGCUGAGGCACGAAAGCGUGGGGAUCAAACAGGAUUAGAUACCCUGGUAGUCCACGCCCUAAACGAUGAACACUCGCUGUUGGCGAUACACAGUCAGCGGCUAAGCGAAAGCGUUAAGUGUUCCACCUGGGGAGUACGCCCGCAAGGGUGAAACUCAAAGGAAUUGACGGGGGCCCGCACAAGCGGAGGAGCAUGUGGUUUAAUUCGAUGAUACGCGAGGAACCUUACCCGGGCUUGAAAGUUAGUGAAUGAUCUAGAGAUAGAUCAGUCCGCAAGGACACGAAACUAGGUGCUGCAUGGCUGUCGUCAGCUCGUGCCGUGAGGUGUUGGGUUAAGUCCCGCAACGAGCGCAACCCCUAUGUUUAGUUGCCAGCACGUCAUGGUGGGGACUCUAAACAGACUGCCUGUGCAAACAGAGAGGAAGGAGGGGACGACGUCAAGUCAUCAUGGCCCUUACGUCCGGGGCUACACACGUGCUACAAUGGAUGGUACAGAGGGCAGCUACAUAGCAAUAUGAUGCGAAUCUCACAAAGCCAUUCACAGUUCGGAUUGGGGUCUGCAACUCGACCCCAUGAAGUUGGAUUCGCUAGUAAUCGCGUAUCAGCAAUGACGCGGUGAAUACGUUCCCGGGCCUUGUACACACCGCCCGUCAAGCCAUGGAAGC